rnacentral:rRNA from 1 species
UACGUAGGGCGCAAGCGUUGUCCGGAAUUAUUGGGCGUAAAGAGCUCGUAGGCGGCUUGUCACGUCGGGUGUGAAAGCCCGGGGCUUAACCCCGGGUCUGCAUUCGAUACGGGCUAGCUAGAGUGUGGUAGGGGGAGAUCGGAAUUCCUGGUGUAGCGGUGAAAUGCGCAGAUAUCAGGAGGAACACCGGUGGCGAAGGCGGGUCUCUGGGCCGAUACUGACGCUGAGGAGCGAAAGCGUGGGGAGCGAACAGG